GUCUGGGUCCGAUAAGACCGCACUGUGCGUGGGGUAAAACCUCACCAGCAUAGGCUUUGGUUUUCAUGGGAUGGAGGUGGCCUUUUCUGGCCUUUUUUGUUCUCUCAGUUUUGUCAUAAAGAUCGUUAGCCGUCAGUCCUGUGACCCAGGAGGAAGACGCUGAAGAUCUAAAUCAGCAUGAGAAAAAGCAUGGAGGACAGUCCAGUGAAGCCCCCUCAGCUGCAGGCUCGCAGAGUCUGUCUCAGGGAGAGCUUUUAAGCACAAAACCCAUGUCCUGGGUUGACACACUUCGGUUAACAAAAACAGCUGUUAGCCAGAAGCAGAACUACAGAAAUCCGAAAGGCAUGGUUAGUACAUUUAGAGACUUUCCCAGAACUAUGGACGUUGAUGGAUUAGGUUUUUGUUUUGCCGUCUUGGCGGGUGGUACUAUUUAUAUGCUGAGUUUUAUGGCCUGAAUGGCACUUUCAUCAUGGAGUCAGUUGUGCUAAGGUCUGGGACUCUGUUACAAAGUUUCCAGGCAACUAUCUGGCUAGCACACAUAGCAAGCCUUCAUAUAUUCCUAAUAUAUGUUUACUCCAGCAGAAAACGUGGGCCACACUUAACAAGGCUUGUGUGAACAGGUAAUGUUAUAUGGUUGGCUAGAAUUUCACCAGGGUAUAUUGAGAUGAGUCAGAAUUAAGUUAUGAGGAAAUACCUUGGAUUUCAAGAAAAGUUAGGCAACCAGGAACCCCUGAAGGCUUUUGAGCAAUGGCAGAAUAACAUGAUGAAAGGGGAUUUGACAUUACGCUGGUUUCUUGAUGUCUUCUUGGCCCAAGCCCGCCCCCUAGUGCCUUUCACUUGAAUUGUUCUCUCCUUUUAUGGAGUAGGUGGGAGAAUUCAGGCCUGGAAUUCGGGAUUUCAGAGUUAAAGAAACCCAGACUUUCUGGGUCCGAUUCCACUUUAUCCUGCAUGGUGACUCAACACUGUAGCAAAAUGAGGUGACAGAGGAGGUUCAAGGUACGAAGAGGGCGUGGGGGAGACCCCCUUCUCUCUCUUCCUAACCCACCCUGUUCCUUUAGAAUAGAGUCCAUUAGGGAGCAGCUAAGCUGGUGGGGAGUCGGGAGAUGAGGGCAAAGACAACGCUCCCUGUAUUUGAGAAGCGUGGAUUCGUAAUGAAACAGGCAAGUACAUUUAUAAUAACAUGUGCCAAGCACUGGGAAGCAGACACAUGUGUAAAACAGCUGCUGACGACAGCCGCCCGGGCCUAGGGCAGCCUCCUGGAAGUGGGCCACCUAGCCUCAUUCUGAGGGAGGGACGGGCAGUGGGGUGGGCUGCUUUGAGGGUGGCCAAGCAUACUCUGUGGAAGGGACUGUUGGUCAGCAUCCUGUGCGGGAGGAGGGAUGUUAGCGAGGGGUGAGGCUGGAUUACAGACGGUUAGUACAUUGUGAUAAAUUAUUAACAUCAACAGGGCAUACACCAUGGUUUUAAGGAAGGGAACAAUCCCAAGAUGCUUUAAAUCCAUUAAAUAAGUUCAGAGGGCCAGAACCAAAGAAGGCCUUGCUUUCUUUUUUUGGUUCUUUUUUUUUUUUUUUUUUUUUUUUCCGGAGCUGGGGACCGAACCCAGGGCCUUGCGCUUCCUAGGCAAGCGCUCUACCACUGAGCUAAAUCCCCAACCCCAAGGCCUUGCUUUCUAAGAUUCCAUUUCCCCUCAGAGUCCCUUCUUUCCUUCAGAAGGUAGAAAUUGGAAAUGUUUGGAAGGCAGUCUCCAACAACGUAUAGGGUGUGGCUUUAUUUUGCCUCCAACAUGUGACAGAGGGUUGUUUUUUAUUUUAUGGGUUUUUUUGCAUCCUCUUCUGCCUCCCACGUCCAAAUAGAGGGAGAUACAACCUUGGCUGAGGCCUUAAAGAACAACUGCGUUCACGUCAUGGAGGGGAGUGCUACAUGACGCCAGAGUCAUGGUCAGAAUGUCGUUUUCUCUCCCUCCACCUUUUUGUUUCUUCUCCUCUCCUCUCCCUCCUUCCUCAAUGCCAUUAAUUAAUUAAUUAAUUAAUUAAUAAUUAAUUAAUUAUGUGUGUAUGUAUGUAUGCAUCUAUCUAUCUAUCUAUCCAUCCAUCUAUCCAUCUAUCUAUCUGUCUAUCUUUUGCUCUUUGUGUUUUGAGACAGGCUCUACCUCUGUAGCCUAGGCUCACCUGGAACUCCCUGUGUCGUCCAUGGAAAUGCUUCUGACUGGUACCUCUUCAAUUCUAGGAUUACAGGCUUGAGCCACUAUACCUGGCCUACAAUGCAGUUCUCUAAUAUAAAGCAAGUUAUAGGGCUGGGAAGAUAGUCUGUGAGGCUGGGACAUUUGCUGCUAAGCCUGAGGACCUGAAUUCAGUCUCCGGAACUCACAUGGUAGGAAAGAGAGAACCAGCUCCUAAACGUUGUCUUCCGAUCUCCUCAUGUAGGGCGACAUAGGCAACUUGCUGAGUAGGCAGAGUCUUUGUGUACAGAGUGUUUGGACCAAUCACGACCAUUUGUUUGGGCCAUACCAGUCUUGCCUCUUAGCAUCGUGAAAUUCCUCUAGUAAGCCACCAGGGGGAGUCUUUCAGUCCUGACUAAGGUGCAGCUGCAGUGUUUGUGUAGUUACCUCACCGGGUCUUGUCAGUGUUCUAGACUGCUGAUGCUGGCACAGGAUGGUCUGACCGCUGUGAGGCUGGCAGUCCUUUUGCUCAGGGGAGUCAGGGAGAGACUGUGCUACUUAUGGAAACUGUUCCAAGCCUAAUGUCUUUUCUUAGUUACAGGAAAAUCAUCACUGGUGGGAGUGUUCACAUAUAAACACCUAGAACUUAUUAACACUAAGAGUCAUUUUUUUUUUUUGGUUCUUUUUUUCGGAGCUGGGGACCGAACCCAGGGCCUUGCGCUUCCUAGGUAAGCGCUCUACCACUGAGCUAAAUCCCCAGCCCCGAGUCAUUUUUUUUAAAAAAACAAUUGUAACAGAGUUCACCAGGUUGUGACUCCUUAUAUGUGUCAGUAGGAAUUCAUCAAGACCUAUAGAAUGUAUGAUACAAUGGGGUUGGGUGAGUGGAUAAACUCCGGUGUGUGUUAUGGCUUUCAGUUACUAAUAAUGAAUAUUAACGUAUCAGCAUUGACUCAUUAGAUGGUGGGGAAAAAGCAAAUGUAAUUUUAGAGUUUGUUUUGCUUUUUUACACUUUAAAAUUGUUCUUAAAAUGUGCUUAUUAUUAUUGCUUUUUUGCACUCUUUAACAUAUUUUAUUUUUUUCUUUUCUUUUUUUCAGAGCUGGGGACCGAACCAGGACCUUGCGCUUGCUAGGCAAGCGCUCUACCACUGAGCUAAAUCCUCAACCCCAACAUAUUUUUUAUUAGAUAUAUUUCUUUAUUUACAUUUCAAAUGUUAUUACUUUACCAUAUUUUUAAAAAAUUUUGUUUAUUGCUGUUAUUUUGAGACAGGAUCUCACUGUGUAGCUCUGGCUCUUCUGAAACUCACUCUGUUUUGCCUGAAAAUAUGCAUGGGAACCAUGUAUGUGAAGAGGUCAGAAGAGGAUGUUGGAUCCCCUGGAACCAUCUAUGGAAUCACAGAUUGUUGUGAGCGUCCAUGCAGUUCAGUUCACAGGUUAGCAGCAGCAGCAGCUCGAUCCACUGGCAAAUACUUCAUGGAUUCACCAGCAGUCCAGUUCAACAGAGUCAGCAUAAAACAGCAAUGGCGGCACUACCUAGCAGAGACAGCCAGGCCUCAGUCUCAGCACAAGUCAUCAGGAGGGAGCAGCAGGGACAUCAGAAGUUCUCAGCUGUGCCUCUCCAGUCCCCAGCCCUGUCUAUUUUUGUACUCCCUCCAAACAUCAUGUCUGUGUCUUGCCUCAGCACAUGCAUCUCUCUGAGUUGACAUCACUCUGUCAAUCAACCCAAGUCUGAGCAGCACAUCACUAGAAGUUGUUUUGUGUGUUUCUCUCUAUAGGGUCCUUUCAAAUGGAGCUCAGCUCUGCAGUGUAAGGCAGACCAAAGCAUGUGUGUUGUUAGCAAAAGAUCCUUCGUCCCAGGUGGAUGCUUUCAUGUGCUUGCUUUAGCAGAACAUCUUUAAACUCAUCUGUUUCAGUCAAACAUUCCUUCAGGCCUGCCUUAGCCUUUCUCCUGUGUCCACCCCAGAAAACACUCCUUCACGUGUUUGCCCCAGCAAAACACCAUCCAACAGACUUUCCAAAGAACCCUUAAGUUUCCACUUCAUAUUUUUGUGCAUGUGUAGAACCCAGGCAGGCAUCAAAAUUCCUGACUCAGCCUCCAGUGCGAGUGCCUCCAAUAGGAGACGAGAGGGACAGAUAAAGGCUCUCAUAUUCUUUGAGGAUACGUUUAUACUUCCUUCUACAGAAUGGCAUCUGCAGGUGCAUUUUGCAAAUAGUUCAACAGGGAGACCACCAAUGAUUUGCCUAUGAACCCCUAGACCAGGUGAAGGAGCAGGAAGAGGGACAUGCCCCUGCCCCCUUGGGUGUAUGCAAACCCAGCUGCACAGAGAUGGGGAGAAGAGAGUGCCAAUACUUCCCCAAUCAGAGACGAGGCUGGGAACCUGACCUACAGGUGAAUCUCUAGGAUUUCUUUCUUUUUUUGAGAUGGUUUCUCAUUAUUGAGCCUUGGUCACCUAUAACUUGCUCUGUAGAACAGCCUGGCCUCAAACUCACAGACCUGCCUGCCGCUGUUUCCAAAGUGCUGGGUUGAAAGGCAUGGAUUGGUACAUCUGGCCUGACUCAAGGAAUCCUUUCUUCCCAGAUUGCUGGCUCUCUGAAAAAGCAUAGCUUAGAGUCAUUUCCAAUCUGGGCAUAUUAGCAUCUGUGGUGGCAGGCAGUGACUUGUACUUCUGCAACCACAAACUGGAGCAGAAGAACAUCCAAGUGUCGCUCUUCCCACGCAACCGCAGACUUCUGUGGCCUUUGUAUGCAAUGACUUCAUGUUUCAAGGACAUGGGCUCUGAGUUGUGCUGUCAAGUAGAAAAACUUGAGCUCGUGGUGGUUCAAUGAAUACGCAGCCAGCCUGGGGCAUGCAGAGCCAGCCACAAGUGCUUGCCCAGAGGGAAAGCUUCCUCAGGAGAUGAGGCACUGCAAACAGAGCUGCCACCUUCCUGGCCUCCCUUCCUCUCAUCUGUCACAAUCCAUGCUUUUCACCCAGAGAUGACCCCACUCCAGCAAAGUGUCUUUUACAUGUGCAGAAUUAGGCCUAUCUUUUAAACUUUUUUUUUUUCCCCAGAGCUGGGGACCGAACCCAGGGCCUUGUGCUUCCUAGGCAAGCGCUCUACCACUGAGCUAAAUCCCCAACCCUAGGCCUAUCUUCCCCAGGUACAAGUCUGUUGAGGUUUUCCCCUAACGUACUGUAAAAAC